rnacentral:snoRNA from 1 species
CGACGACGAUGAUGAGCUCGCCUUGCCGGCCAUUCCGGCCGGGGCCAAGAACUACAUGACCCCGCAGGGUCAUGCGCGCAUCAAGAAUGAACUGCUGCACCUGAUCGACG